GUGGCUUCGUGGUUGUUGCUCUUUUGAGCGU
rnacentral:sRNA from 1 species